CAGAAAAAAAUAAUGUAAUGUGCCUCGAUGUGAUUCAUGCUGAUGUAAUAAAAACAGAUGUAAACGGGAUUUUUAGAUGUACAAUCACAUCGGUUUGGUGAUAAAUUACAUCUUCCUUGAGAUUACACAAUAGCGAAAUCUCGAUAUCACAUUCCGUUGUACCUGUGUGAUAUUUGCAUUGAAAAUAUGUGAAUAUUACACCGAAAUAGCUGCAACCAAGUGGUUGCGACAAAGUUGUGUAAAAACACACACAUUGAUGUCAUAUCGCAUUCGAUAAGAAUGCGAUAUUAAAUCUCGCAACACUGUUGUGUUGUUGUGAUCACGAUGAUCACGAUCGCUUGCAAGUAAGCUGCCAUUUUUAAUUCUUUGGUACUUGACGAGCUUCGAGACUGUUGGCUGCUGUUUUUUCUACGAUUUUGAUUGAUUUUGGCAUAGCGACCGUUCCUGAACGGGAAAUGCUCGGUCGGAGUGGACGAGCAGUCGUUGAAAUCGUCGCGGCUAGACGGAAUCCCUACCGUACCGGACACAUACACGGAGAUUGACCAGAUUGACGCCGUGCCAACCAGACUCACCAGACUAGCAAAAGAUGCCCCAAACGCAGCAACUGUGUUCCGGUCGAAUGCGCAAGCGGAAUUGCUCUUUCGUUUUGGAAUCGAUUAUUCUUUCGUUCGAUGCCGCACUGGUUGAGCAAAGGAAGUCACGACGCAGUCGUUAAAAUCAAAGCUAAACGCAAUCCCUAUCGAACCAGACAAACAGGAUACGGACACGGAGAUUAAGAAUCCGCCGCGCCAACCAGAUUAGUAAAAGAUGUCCCAAACACAGCCCCAACUGUGCUCCGACCGAAUGCGCAAGCGGCGGAAAUUUUGUUCUUUUCGAAUUGCUGUUUCAUUUUGGAAUCGGUAGGUCGUUCGUUAGAAGGCGCACUAGAUGAGCGGAGGAAGUCACAAUUUAGCUUUCGGUGUUAACGGGCGAUGCGACUUGAAUCUUUUUGAUGGCAGAAAUCGGCAGCAGUAAAGCUAUUUCGCUUUGUCAAAGUUUGGAGCUGCUUGGGGAACUUGGAAGCACGGGCUCACAAGUCAUGAGUGUCCGUAGAUAUACAGAGGCGGAUCGGUUACAGUUGUACCUGCUGGUGGAGCAGAGGAACCGGAUUCGGAUAUAUGAUUGAUUGGCCACCGGAAGUGAAGCAGAAAAUUGAAAAAAUGACGACGCCGCUGUCUUCAAGCGGUACUUUAUUCACCGCUGCCGUCAGAAUGUUCGCCCCAGCUACUUUGUACCCGCAGAAGCAACUUGAAUUAUUAUAUAAUAAUCAUUCUUAUAAGUUAAUCACAUUUUAUAAAAAAAAUACUGCAAUACAAAUAAAAUUUCCCUCUACAAUAUACUUUUUCUGAUUUUACUCCUGAAUGGCUGAUUAAAUUGUAUUUGAUCCUAUUUCGACUUAAAUUUUGUGUAUCUUAAAAAACCUAGUGGUUUUUCAGCUACACAUUUUUUUCGUCGAAAAAAGAUGAAAUUCAAUUUAAUCAUCCAUUCAGGAGAAUUGGCAAGCGUUUACAUCGUUUCCUUAGGUACAUUGCAAGGAUUACAUCGUACCGUGUACAUCGAAUAAAUUACAUCGCAAUAAUUACAUCGGAUCUGUUUAUUACAUCAACAGCCGUCGAGUACAUCGGGCUGUGUAAUAUUAAUCAAUUGAUGUAACGACCUGGUUGCAGCGAUUUCGAUGUAAUAUUCAACAACUUUUUUUGCUGUG